GGGGAUGAUCCGGUUUCGACGGGGGUGUCGAGAGCGGGAUAAGCGAGCCGUGGACCCAGACCACGAUAAAACCGGGAAAAAAAGUAACUGACAAUAGCGAUUUCGCUUUCGCGGCUUAAUGCCGUGACGUUGGCCCGGGUUGCCUGCGUGCCCGGUCACCAGCGUCAUUAACGCAGGGAACGAGUGUGCCUAAGCUUUGCCGUACACCCGUAACAUGAAGCUACCAAGGUCGUCAGCCUGUCAGUGGGCGGACGGCUGAGGGAAUGUUAAAUCGCUGACUGCGCUCGGAGAAGGUCCCGUUCAAGAGCUUUCGGACAGGGGUUCGACUCCCCUCAUCUCCACCA
rnacentral:tmRNA from 1 species